rnacentral:rRNA from 1 species
GAUGAACGCUGGCGGCGUGCCUAAUACAUGCAAGUCGAGCGAACGGACGAGAAGCUUGCUUCUCUGAUGUUAGCGGCAGACGGGUGAGUAACACGUGGAUAACCUACCUAUAAGACUGGGAUAACUUCGGGAAACCGGAGCUAAUACCGGAUAAUAUUUUGAACCGCAUGGUUCAAAAGUGAAAGACGGUCUUGCUGUCACUUAUAGAUGGAUCCGCGCUGCAUUAGCUAGUUGGUAAGGUAACGGCUUACCAAGGCAACGAUGCAUAGCCGACCUGAGAGGGUGAUAGGCCACACUGGAACUGAGACACGGUCCAGACUCCUACGGGAGGCAGCAGUAGGGAAUCUUCCGCAAUGGGCGAAAGCCUGACGGAGCAACGCCGCGUGAGUGAUGAAGGUCUUCGGAUCGUAAAACUCUGUUAUUAGGGAAGAACAUAUGUGUAAGUAACUGUGCACAUCUUGACGGUACCUAAUCAGAAAGCCACGGCUAACUACGUG